CUUCAACGACCUUUCAUGUACUGAACUACAGGCGUCUGCAAAAUUCCAUUCAGUGUGGAACGAAGAAAGUGCUCGUGUUCGAGAUUGUCUUCAGUUGACCCCUAGAAUCCCCUAAUCCAAGUGAUUUUUGUCGUGCCUGAAAUAAUGAAUGGAAAAAGGGUGUCAAAUCAGGCUUCAUCUCCACUCAGUGACAUGGACGGUGAAGAAUACCUUUUUUUGGGAAAAUUCUUGGUCUGAGGAGAAGGAUGUUGAAGUUAGGCAUUUGCUGAUAUGGAUUGGUGUUUCAAACAAGGACAAAACUUGGGAGCCCAAGAAAAUCUUUAUUUUAAUAAUUUGAUUGCAGCAUUCGAAAGCAAAUGUCUACUGUUGAAUGAGAAUCCUGAAAACAAGCUAAGCCAAGAGAAGAAAAUUGUGGAGAAAAAAGAACUAAAGCCCAGUUUUCUCCGUGUCAUUAUGAAUGUCCAGUCUUCCAACAGGAUUUGAUCGAAAUGUAGCGGCGGAGACAAUUUUAGGAAUGAGCGAUGGUGGUGACGCAACGACAUAGAUAAUUGGUGUAGUAAUUUGUUUCAAAUUCUUAACUAUUUUUAAUGAUGUGGCAUUUAUAAUGACAUGCAGAAAACUAUCUUCCAACAGCAAUUUGAAAGAUAUAUAAUUAAAAAAAUAAUUUUAGCAGUG